GGGCUCAAAAUGGUGGAGUAGGAAGGCAAGACAGAAUCUCCUUCCACACACACUCAAAGGAAGCAAAUACAACUAAAACUGAAAACAAACUGAAGACUGCAGAACAGACCACCUAUACCUGGAAGAGAAGACCAUACAGAAACAGGUCUGAAAGCUGAAAGUCCAAGAUCAGGAGAACAGCACAAUCAGGUGAUCCAGCCUCUGACACAAAAAGGAAACAGAAGCCAUUAACCAAAAGCUCCAACUUCCCUGUCCUCCUCUGUCCUGCUGUCUACAGUGUGAUAAUGAACGGUACUCAGGAAAUCCGUAGUUCUGCAAGAGAAGAAUCCUGUGUGUUGGUUAAAGGGAAAAACCCUGCCAAGAAAUCUGGAAGUGGAGAGGGGGAAAGUUAAUCAUCCCAACAACCAGACUGAGAUGUUUCCUUCCCUUUAGCAAAGUCAGCUCUCAGCAAGAGUUUAA